AUUGAACGCUGGCGGCAGGCCUAACACAUGCAAGUCGAGCGGAUGAAGGGAGCUUGCUCCUGGAUUCAGCGGCGGACGGGUGAGUAAUGCCUAGGAAUCUGCCUGGUAGUGGGGGAUAACGUCCGGAAACGGGCGCUAAUACCACAUACGUCCUGAGGGAGAAAGUGGGGGAUCUUCGGACCUCACGCUAUCAGAUGAGCCUAGGUCGGAUUAGCUAGUUGGUGGGGUAAAGGCCUACCAAGGCGACGAUCCGUAACUGGUCUGAGAGGAUGAUCAGUCACAUUGGAACUGAGACACGGUCCAGACUCCUACGGGAGGCAGCAGUGGGGAAUAUUGGACAAUGGGCGAAAGCCUGAUCCAGCCAUGCCGCGUGUGUGAAGAAGGUCUUCGGAUUGUAAAGCACUUUAAGUUGGGAGGAAGGGCAGUAAGUUAAUACCUUGCUGUUUUGACGUUACCAACAGAAUAAGCACCGGCUAACUUCGUG
rnacentral:rRNA from 1 species